GAUCUUUAUAUAUUAAAUAAUUAAAUAAAAAUUAGUUAAAUUAUUUUUUUUAAUUGUUAAUGUAUUAUAUUGGGGUAAUAAUAAAAUUUUAUAAAUUUUUAUUUAUUUUAUUCAAUUAUAAUUGUUUAAUUGAUCCAAUAUUAUUGAUUAAAAAUUUAAGUUACCUUAGGGAUAACAGCGUAAUGAUUUUUGAGAGUUCUUAUCGAUAAAAUAGUUUGU
rnacentral:rRNA from 1 species